GGUGGUAUGGCGCAACCGGUUAGCGCAUCCGGCUGUUACGAGCUUCUCUUCCAAGAAGCUUCAGCAAACCGGGAGGUUGUAAGUUCGAGUCUUACUAUCACCG